rnacentral:rRNA from 1 species
CGUAAAGCGCAUGCAGGUGGUUUGUUAAGUUCAGAUGUGAAAGACCCGGGGCGUCAACCUCGGAAUUGCAUUUGAAACUAGGCAAACUAGAGUACUGUAGAGGGGGGUAGGAAUUUCAGGUGUAGCGGUGAAAUAGCGUAGAGAUCUGAAGGAAUACCGGUGGCGAAGGCGGCCCCCUCGGACAGAUACUGACACUCAGAUGCGAAAGCGUGGGGAGCAAACAGGAUUAGAUACCCUGGUAG